rnacentral:rRNA from 1 species
CCUACGGGGGGCUGCAGUGGGGAAUAUUGGACAAUGGGGGGAACCCUGAUCCAGCGACGCCGCGUGAGUGAAGAAGUAUUUCGGUAUGUAAAGCUCUAUCAGCAGGGAAGAAAGAAAUGACGGUACCUGACUAAGAAGCCCCGGCUAACUACGUGCCAGCAGCCGCGGUAAUACGUAGGGGGCAAGCGUUAUCCGGAUUUACUGGGUGGAAAGGGAGCGUAGACGGCGAUGCAAGUCUGAAGUGAAAGGCGGGGGCCCAACCCCUGGACUGCUUUGGAAACUGUAUGGCUGGAGUGCAGGGGAGGUAAGUGGAAUUCCUAGUGUAGCGGUGAAAGGCGUAGAUAUUAGGAGGAACACCAGUGGCGAAGGCGGCUUACUGGACUGUAACUGACGUUGAGGCUCGAAAGCGUGGGGAGCAAACAGGAUUAGAUACCCCAGUAGUC